rnacentral:rRNA from 1 species
AUGGAUGGUUUUCGAGAGUGUCUUGAUGCAUGUGAUUUCCACCACCUGGGUUUCCAGGGUGUUCCGUUCACGUGGGACAAUAUGCAGCAAGGUGACUCAAAUGUUAAAGUUCGCUUGGAUAGAUACAUGGCAAACCCAGCAAUGAUGGGCUUAUACCCAGGUUCUUUCGUCCGCCAUAUUCUAUCUCUAAAAUGUGAUCAUUGUAUGCUUGCGAUUAAGCUGAAGAGCUUAGUGCAAGAAGCGGGAGUACGCCGUCACCGCUUCAUGUAUGAAGAAGAAUGGCAAAGGGAGGAAACAUAUGAUGCCGCUGUUAUGCAUGGGUGGCGAACGGGCGCAGGAUUCGAAGGGCUGCAAGGCAUAAACAAUGCUCUAAUGAAUAUGCAAGUUCAGCUCACGGACUGGAAAUCAAAAAAGUUUGGGGAUGUGAAGAAGAAGAUAAAGAAGGUUCGGAAGGAGUAUGAAAAGGAGAGAGCGAAUUCUCUGUUCAGGGGUCCAACACGCAAAGAGAAAGACCUUUCUCGCCAACUGUCUGAGCUGCUUCACAAAGAGGAGUUGAUGGCUCGUCAGAGGUCAAGAGCUGACUGGCUCAAGGCAGGAGAUCGCAACACCGGCUUCUUCCAGGCGCGUGCUGCUGCACGCAAGAGUAGGAACAGAAUUUGUAGUCUACAGACUGCAGAUGGCUUAGUCUGUGAGACAAAGGAAGAUAUACAUGCAGAAGUACAACAGUUCUAUACGAACCUGUACACAGCUCAGGAACAUACCAAUGCUGAUGCAGUUCUUCACCAUGUGCCGCACCAAAUAACAGAGCCCAUGAACGAGCGAUUAGAGAUGCUCAAACAGGGACUCAUCCGGCGUGUGGGAGAUGGGACAACGACUGAGGUUUGGCAUGAUCAGUGGAUAGAAGGAAAAGCAUCGAUGAAGCCAAUGGGCCCCCGUGUUACAAACUCGGUUCAGUUGGUCUCAGACUUAAUUGAUCCUGUGUCAAACAGGUGGGACUCGGAACUUAUCCGAGAAGUGUUCUACCCCCCUGAUGUGGAUGCAAUCCUAUGCAUGCCUAGGCCUCGAAGAGCAGGGGCUGACAUAUGGGCAUGGGCGUGGGAGAAGUCUGGAAUUUUCUCUGUGCGCUCGGCGUACAGAGAAAGGAUGGAUACGAAAUUAAGGGAGACAAUAGUAGUUUCAACCUCUAAUGGAGACGAGGAGAGAUGGAGAUCAUUGUGGAAGAUUAAUGUGCUCCCAAAGAUUAGAGUUUUCUGGUGGCGAGUGGUCAAGGGUUUUCUGCCGUGUUAUGGCGAAUUGCAGCGCCGACAUAUCAGGACCUUACUACACUGUCCUAUGUGCGGGCAUGAUCAGGAAUCCUUAUUCCACAGUCUGCUAGAGUGCGAUCAUGCGAAGGCUUUCUGGGAGGCGGCAACUCGUUACUUUGACAUACAGCAGCCCAAACUGAAUCCAAGGACAUGGUCGCGAGAUAUGCUUGACCAUAAGCUCAUAAAACGUGAUGAUGCAGCGCUUAUGAUCACCUUGAUGUGGGCAAUUUGGCACUCAAGAAACAAGUAUACACAUGGCGAGAAGGAGUACCAACCGAUCCAGUCAAUGAUCAUCAUAGAGGAGAUUGUACGUGCCCUGGAGCUGCCACCAUAUGGGCAAGUUCAGAAUGAGAUUGUGCAAAAGUGGCAUGCACCAGAGGACGGCUGGAUCAAGAUUAACACAGAUGGGGCAACUGAUCCUGGAAGGAGUACAGGAGGGGCAGGUGUUCUCGCUAGAAACAACCAAGGGGCUUGUUUGAGAGCAGCCUGUUUCCGUUAUGAGGGUGUAACUGAUCCCCUGUCCACUGAGAUCUUGGCUUGCCGUGAUGCCAUAGGUAUGGCCCUAGACAUGGGACUUCAACGAGUGGUACUUGAGACUGACUGUCAACAGAUUCAGCACCUUUGGGAGUCGCCACAGAAGUCCGCUAGUUAUCACAUUCUGUGUGAAAUGAAGGAUAUGAGUAAUCUGCUUCAGGGAUUCAAGCUACGGUUUUCUAGUCGCUGUACUAAUAAAGCGGCUCACCGUUUAGCUAGGAAGGCUUUAGUUAUCCAUAAUUUUGUUGAAACUUUUGAUGUAAUCCCUGGCUGGCUGGCUGAGAUCGUUCAGUCAGACAUACUUGCGCCUGUUGAAUAA